rnacentral:lncRNA from 1 species
UCUAACCUAAGUAAAAAUUAAGACAGUUUUGGCUUCGCGUUGCAACUGAAUAAAAAUGGUAUACAUUUUUAUUUUAUAAAUUUAAAUGUUUAAAAAUUUAGUUGGCUAUUGGGAUAAACCGUAAUCGUACCCCCUCCUAACUGCCAAAGUGUCAUGGCCGCCGUCGGGACCUAUUGUGCUGACAUUUACAAUGUUUACAUAUAGAAAAGUUUGUUUUUUUCUGCUUAUAAUGCCGUUUUCUAAAGAUAUUAGUGAACAAAAUCGAUUUGCUAACAAUAUUUAAUAUAUUUUAAAUGUGCUAAAAUUGGAUUCAACAGCAAAAGUCGCAUAAAGAACAUAUAAAUAACGAAUUUGUUUACCUAUUACAAAUGGGGUUAUGUGGUUGUAACUGUUUAUUUUGGGAAUAAAAUGAAAAUGAUCAAUUAAACGACUGGAAAACUAUAGUGAAGUGAAGAACAUCUUGAAGUUCCAAUGAUGUUUCAAGAUGAGAUAAAUCGAAAUAAUGGUUGUAUGUUAGAAGGACAGAGAAUACGAAGAAAUGUUAUUGCUGCAUACUUGUGUAGUGAAAUACAAACUUCAAACAUUAUAAUAUAUUUUUUUAUUUCAAACAUUUCAUAUGAUUAUGAAAGAACAUCUUCCUCUUUAAAACAAUGAAGAAGUGAAGAACAUAAUAAAGUUCCAACGAAAAUGAUUCCAGAUGAGGAAAAUCGAAAUAAUGGUUGUAUGUUACGUGUAUAGAGAAUACGAAGAAAUGUUAUUGCUGCAAACUUAGUGUAGUGAAUUAAAAACUUAUUGUCAAAUACAAAUCAAUUUAUUUCAUACUUUUAUAAUAUAUAGUGGUACAAUUUUAUAUGUGUUCAAAUAAAAAUAUUAAUAAAUAAAAUACAAUAAACACAAA